GGGGAUUUAGCUCAGUGGUAGAGUGCUUGUCUAGCAAGCACAAGCACAAGCACAAGCAAGCCCUGGGUUCAGUCCCCA
rnacentral:tRNA from 1 species